CUGGAACAAUGGAGAGCUGCCUGGCUGGAGGAGGACCGCAACCAACCAGGACUACGACUCCCAGCGGGCAGCGCGCCAACUCCACGCGGAGGGCGGGGCGCUGGGCAUGCUAGGAGUUGUAGUGUCGGCCGCCCUCACAGUCCGGCUGAUGGGAAGAUGUACGGCUUCGUUUUCUAGGGAAAAACAAUUUUGACGGAAAUCCUAACUCAGAGUUUACAGUCAAUCCUUGAGAGGGCUCAGGGAUUAACUCCACAACGGCCCAUUUUGCAGAGCCUAGGCCUUCACCGGGCCCCUCCUGUCGGCGGGUCGAUCCAGGUGGCUGGAGGACGGCAAGACAGCAGGACUAACCCAAACUGGGCAGAAGGGAAAGGGCGCGGCCUGCCAGCCCGUCUCUUGGCAACGGGCUCAGGCCGCUAAACUGCCGGAGUGGCGUCCCCGAGCGCAUAGCCCUCUGGGAAUCGUAGUGUGGCUGGAAGGCUUAUAGGACUCUCGAGGGUGCAGGCUUUGAGCCUGCGAACUACAACUCCCGACGAUCAUCAUGAGGGCCAGGGGGUAGGAAAAGCCCCCAGGAGCUCGGUCCGGGGUUCCUGGCUCCCUAGUGACAGCAGCGACAGGAAGCAGGCAGGCAUUCCCCAGUCCCCAGCGCUAGGCCUGUUCCUGGAGGGGUGCACUGGACACUUUCCCGCAUAACUCCCAUCUCUGACCCCAUGGCGAAGUCCCCAGGGAACUCUACCCUGGAGGACAGUCUGGGGCAAUACCAGCGGAGUCUCCGGGAACGUGCCAAUAGAAGCCUUCACCAACUGAAAUGUGCCCUGAGAGAAGCUGAUGUCAAUGUGGAAGAAGAUGCUCUGGAUCCUUCCCCCAGCGUCAAUGUAGAAAAUGAGGACACCGGGGUGGCCUGGCAUGAGCUGCAGCACAGCCAUGCUGUCAAUCAACUCAAAGCUUUAUUGCGCCAACAAGCAAGUAAGGACAAUGAGAUGUCUCCACCGCAAAGACGAAAGAUGUCCCCUGUGCGGCCAGAAUGUGAGGACAAUAGCAUGCCUACUGUGCACAACCUCGUUCCUAUCAUUAAUGACCAGUCUCAGUACAUUCAUCAUUUAGAAGCGGAAGUUAAAUUCUGCAAGGAUGAAUUAUCUGGAAUGAAAAAUAGGGUGCAAGUGGUUGUGCUGGAGAAUGAAAGGCUCCAGCAAGAACUGAAAUCUCAAAGGCAGGAGGAGACACUGAGGGAGCAAACACUCCUGGAUGCAUCUGGAAACAUUCAGGAUUCUUGGAUGAAGACAGGAGAAGAUUCUAGGGUGGAUGAAGCUGCAAAGAGACCAUUUUCUCACGGUGAUGCUGAAACCGGCAAAGCCACAUCCACUGGCGAUGCUGAAAAGUGGAAGCUAGAGCUGGAGAGGCUGAAACUCACAUAUGAGGCGAAGAGUGACCUUCUGGAGUCUCAGUUGAUGCUUCUGAGGAAAGACUUAGUUGAAUAUCAGAAAAACUGUGAGGACCUCAAGGAAAGACUGAAGCAUAAAGAGUCUCUUCUGGCUGCUAGUGCAUCCAGCCGUGUGGGUGGCCUCUGUUUGAAAUGUGCUCAGCAUGAGGCUGUUCUUUCCCAGACCCAUAGCAACGUGCACAUCCAGACCAUUGAGACACUGACUAAAGAAAGGGAUGACUUAAUAUCUGCGCUAGUUUCUGUGCGGAGCAGCUUGGCAGAAGUGCAGCAGAGAGAGACAAGUGCCUAUAAGCAGGUAAAGCAUGCUGUGCAGAUGACCGAAGAAGCCAACUUUGAAAAGACCAAGGCUUUGAUCCAGUGUGAGCAGCUGAAGAGUGAGCUGGAGAGGCAGACAGAAAGACUGGAAAAGGAACUUGCCUCUCAGCAAGAGAAACGGGCUCUGGAGAAGGAGAUGAUAAAGAAAGAAGUAGCCAAGGAGAGGGAGGAUGCUGAAUCUAAGAUGUUGAUCCUGUCUCAGAAUAUUGCCAAGCUGGAGGCCCAGGUAGAAACGAUUACAAGGGAGAAAAUUUCAGCUGUCAGUCAACUAGAGGAAAUUCAGAACCAGCUUGCUUCUCAGGAAGUGGAUGUCACAAAGGUGUGUGGAGAAAUGCGCUUUCAGUUGAAUAAAACGAAAAUGGAGAAGGAUGAAGCAGAAAAGGAGCACAGAGAAUACAAAGCAAAAUCUCAAAAGGAUCUUGAAAUUAAAGAUCAGGAAAUAGAGAAAUUGAGACUAGAACUGAGCGAGAGCAAGCAGCAUGUGGAACAGGAGCAGCAGAAGGCAGCUCAGGCCAGACAGGAGUGCCUGCAAGUAACAGAGCUGCUGGGCGAGUCUGAGCGCCAGCUGCACCUCACCAGACUGGAAAAAGAUAGCAUUCAGCAAAGCUUUAGCAACGAAGCAAAGACCCGAGCCCUUCAGGCCCAGCAGAGAGAGCAGGAGCUGACACAGAAGAUACAGCAAAUGGAGGCCCAGCACGACAAAACUGAAAAUGAACAGUAUUCGUUGCUGACCUCCCAGAAUACAUUUCUGACAAAGUUAAAGGAAGAAUGCUGCACAUUAGCCAAGAAGCUGGAGAAAAUCUCACAAAAAAGCAGAUCGGAAAUAGUUCGCCUCAGUCAAGAGAAAAGAUAUGUGUGUGACAAGUUGGAGAAGUUACAGAAGAGAAAUGAUGAACUGGAGGAACAGUGCAUCCAACACGGGAGGGUUCAUGAGACGAUGCAGGAAAGACUCAGGCAGCUGGAUAAGCAUGGCCAGGCCACAGCCCAGCAGCUGGUGCAGUUGCUCAACAAGCAGAAUCAGCUUCUCCUGGAGCGACAGAACCUGUCAGAGGAGGUGGACCGUCUGCGGGCCCAGAUAGGGAAACUGAGGCUCAAACAAGCAUAUUCAGCUAGCAAAUAGGGGCACAGCAAAUGGAAUCUAAGUCUGACUCCAGAGCCCAAGCUGUCCCCUUCAGGUUAGAUAAUGGCGGAAGAGUCCAGUUACCCAGCAUGCCACAAUCUGAUUGCUGACCUGGAUGAAACAGAGUGAAAUAAAUGAUUUACAAAGAGAUAUUUACAUUCAUCUGAUUUGUACUUAAUGUGCCACAGUGCACCGAAUCCUCCCCAGGGAGACACCACCUGGGGCUGCAGGGGGGCUGGUCCUCAUGCCAUGGUUCUGUCCCUGGGCUACAGACAGGGAGUGCUUCAGCAUGAACUGGCUUGGGCUAGUUGGAGUGUGUGCUCAAAACAGCAUCAAGUCACUGAUUUAUGUUGUCUCUACUCUAGAGUACGUACGUACGUACGGGAUUAAUAAAAUGACCUCUCUAAAGA